CACGUAGGAGGCGAGCGUUGUCCGGAAUCAUUGGGCGUAAAGAGCGCGCAGGCGGCUUGGCAAGUCGGGUGUGAAAUCCCGGGGCUCAACCCCCGUGACUGCAUCCGAUACUGUCAGGCUAGAGGUAGGUAGGGGAGAUCGGAAUUCCUGGUGUAGCGGUGAAAUGCGCAGAUAUCAGGAGGAACACCGGUGGCGAAGGCGGAUCUCUGGGCCUUACCUGACGCUCAGGCGCGAAAGCUAGGGGAGCAAACGGG
rnacentral:rRNA from 1 species